UCUGUUUGGGAUAUUAAAAGUUAAAAACUACUUUGAAGUUUCUAAAAAAAGCUAAUAUCUUUGAAGUUGCUGAGUUUCAUAAGAGAGCUGUCCUUGAAGAGAAAGUAUCCACCAUUAUCCCUAGAGAAGAGGAGCCUCCUUUUUAUGAAGAACCUGAAGGUUAUGGAGAAGUUCCAGCAGAAGAAAAGAUGCCUUUUAUUACUCCUAGUGAACCAGAAGCUCCAGCAGCUAAAGUAUCUGCAGUGACAAAGAAAACUGUCCCACUUAAGAAAAUACCUGCUGCUGUACCUACAGAAGAAGCUCCUCCAGCUAAAGUUCCUGAAGUACGAAAGAAAGCUGCCCACAAAGAAAAAAUACCUCCUCCUGUACCUAAAGAAGAACCUGCA